rnacentral:lncRNA from 1 species
AGCACUCCGGCUCAGUACUGUGGACCGGGUGCAUGGCAGCACCUUGCAAAGGAGCAGCACGAGGACAAGCAUCACUCUGCGCUGCAGGGAGGGACCUGCCUCCAUCUCCCAUGGGGGUUGACCUUGUGGCUGCCCUGCUCUCUCCAUCGCUGAGCACAGAUCCCAGCCUGGAAGCUGCACUCAUGUCAGCUGGAUGGAGCGGGAGCUGCUGCUGCCUCGGCUGCUCUUCGUUGUGCCUGCAAAGGUAAG